rnacentral:lncRNA from 1 species
AAAUUUCUUUUUUGAAGAAUAGAGUGAUGGUCAUCAGAAUUAGCUGAGGCAGAAGAGGAGGCAAAAUGGUAAUCUGGAAGGUUGGUUUAUGGCAAAUUCAUUAGGCACUCCUUGGGAAAUCUCAACUGUGUGGUAGAAUUUGAAGAAAACUGUUUUUGCUAAUAGAAAGUCAGUAAAAUCCAGUAAAAUGCUGGUUUUGUGACUGCCUCCCCUCCCCCAUCCCCCUGCAGACUGGUGUGAUCAGAGAAAAAUAGGCCGCGUUUGCUCAAAUGGUUACUAAAUAACUCUUGUUUUCAAGGAUAGCUUUAAAGAAAAAAAGAAUGUACAAAAUGCCACUUGAGAGAUGUGUAAUUUGAAAAGAAAAAGAAUGGUUGUUCUUUUUUGAUUUGCUGUUGUUGGGGUAAUUUCAGACUAUUUUAAAAUAUUCACUGGUAAAGUCUCUUUCAUGUGCGUCUGUGUGAAGAGACCACCAAACAGGCUUUGUGUGAGCAACAUGGCUGUUUAUUUCACCUGGGUGCAGGUGGGCUGAGGCCGAAGAGAGUCAGCAAAGGGAGACAAGGGUGGGGCCAUUUUAUAGGAUUUGGGUAAGUAAAGGAAAAUUACAGUCAAAGGGGGUUUGUUCUCUGGCAGGUAGGAGUGGGGGUCGCAAGGUGCUCAGUGGGCAGGAGUGGGGGGGUCACAAGGUGCUCAGUGGGGGUGCUUUUUGAGCCAGGAUGAGCCAGGAAAAGGACUUUCACAAGGUAAUGUCAUCAGUUAAGGCAAGGACCGGCCAUUUACACUUCUUUUGUGGUGGAAUGUCAUCAGUUAAGGUGGGGCAGGGCAUAUUCACUUCUUUUGUGAUUCUUUAGUUACUUCAGGCCCUCUGGGCGUAUAUGUGCAGGUCACAGGGGAUGUGAUGGCUUGGCUUGGGCUCAGAGGCCUGACAUUCCUGCCUUCUUAAUAAGAAAAAUAAAACAAAAUAGUGUUGAAGUGUUGGGGCGGCGAAAAUUUUUGGGGGGUGGUAUGGAGAGAGAGUGGACGAUGUUCCUCAGGCCUGCUUCAAGAGGGAUUAGGGGCGGCGUGGGAACCUAGAGUGGGAGAGAUUAAGCUGAAAGGAGAUCUUGUGGUAAGGGGUGAUAUUGUGGGGUUGUUAGAAGAAACAUUUGUUGUAUAGAAUGAUUGGUGAUGGCCUGGAUAUGGUUUUGUAUGAACUGAAAAACUAAAUGGAAUAA